rnacentral:rRNA from 1 species
UACGAAGGGGGCUAGCGUUGUUCGGAAUCACUGGGCGUAAAGCGCACGUAGGCGGAUCUUUAAGUCAGGGGUGAAAUCCCGGGGCUCAACCUCGGAACUGCCUUUGAUACUGGGGAUCUCGAGUCCGGGAGAGGUGAGUGGAAUUGCGAGUGUAGAGGUGAAAUUCGUAGAUAUUCGCAAGAACACCCGUGGCGAAGGCGGCUCUCUGGAACGCAACUGACGCUGAGACGCGAAAGCGUGGGGAGCAAACAGG